UUUAAGGUCUAAUCUGCCCAAUGAGGUUUUAAAUGGCCGCGGUAUUUUGACCGUGCAAAGGUAGCAUAAUAAUUAGUUUUUUAAUUGAAAGCUGGAAUGAAUGAUUGGACGAGAAAAUAGCUGUCUCUAACUAAAUUUUUUAGAAUUUUAUUUUUAAGUAAAAAAGCUUAAAUUUUUUUAAAAGACGAGAAGACCCUAUAGAGUUUAAUAUAUUUAUUUGUAUUUAAAUUUGUAGAAGUAUGAGUUUGUUAUUUUUAAAUAUAUUUUGUUGGGGUGAUAGAAAAAUUAAAUUAACUUUUUUUAUAGUUAAACAUUAAUAUAUGGUUAAAUGAUCCAUUUUUUAUGAUUAUAAGAUUAAAUUACCUUAGGGAUAACAGCGUAAUUUUUUUUAAGAGUUCUUAUCGAAAAAAGAGAUUGCGACCUCGAUGUUGGAUUAAAAUAUACGUUUGGUGUAGGGGCUAAAUAGUUAGGUCUGUUCGACCUUUAAAAUUUUACA
rnacentral:rRNA from 1 species